rnacentral:lncRNA from 1 species
UUCAGAUAUCGAGCUGUUGCAUCUUGGAGUAGAAUUAAAGGAAUUGGGGUUCCAAAAUGGACAGCAGUAGAAAUUGUUUUGAUUUGGGUGGUCUCUGUGGUUCUAGCUGUCCCUGAAGCCAUAGGUUUUGAUAUAAUUACGAUGGACUACAAAGGAAGUUAUCUACGAAUCUGCUUGCUUCAUCCCGUUCAGAAGACAGCUUUCAUGCAGUUUUACAAGACAGCAAAAGAUUGGUGGCUAUUCAGUUUCUAUUUCUGCUUGCCAUUGGCCAUCACUGCAUUUUUUUAUACACUAAUGACCUGUGAAAUGUUGAGAAAGAAAAGUGGCAUGCAGAUUGCUUUAAAUGAUCACCUAAAGCAGAGACGGGAAGUGGCCAAAACUGUCUUUUGCCUGGUCCUUGUCUUUGCCCUCUGCUGGCUUCCCCUUCACCUCAGCAGGAUUCUGAAGCUCACUCUUUAUAAUCAGAAUGAUCCCAAUAGAUGUGAACUUUUGAGCUUUCUGUUGGUAUUGGACUAUAUUGGUAUCAACAUGGCUUCACUGAAUUCCUGCAUUAACCCAAUUGCUCUGUAUUUGGUGAGCAAAAGAUUCAAAAACUGCUUUAAGUCAUGCUUAUGCUGCUGGUGCCAGUCAUUUGAAGAAAAACAGUCCUUGGAGGAAAAGCAGUCGUGCUUAAAGUUCAAAGCUAAUGAUCACGGAUAUGACAACUUCCGUUCCAGUAAUAAAUACAGCUCAUCUUGAAAGAAGAACUAUUCACUGUAUCUCAUUUUCUUUAUAUUGGACCGAAGUCAUUAAAACAAAAUGAAACAUUUGCCAAAACAAAACAAAAAACUAUGUAUUUGCACAGCACACUAUUAAAAUAUUAAGUGUAAUUAUUUUAACACUCAUAGCUACAUAUGACAUUUUAUGAGCUGUUUACGGCAUGGAAAGAAAAUCAGUGGGAAUUAAGAAAGCCUCAUCGUGAAAGCACUUAAUUUUUUACAGUUAGCACUUCAACAUAGCUCUUAACAACUUCCAGGAUAUUCACACAACACUUAGGCUUAAAAAUGAGCUCACUCAGAAUUUUUAUUCUUUCUAAAAAGAGAUUUAUUUUUAAAUCAAUGGGACUCUGAUAUAAAGGAAGAAUAAGUCACUGUAAAACAGAACUUUUAAAUGAAGCUUAAAUUACUCAAUUUAAAAUUUUAAAAUCCUUUAAAACAACUUUUCAAUUAAUAUUAUCACACUAUUAUCAGACUGUAAUUAGAUGCAAAUGAGAGAGCAGUUUAGUUGUUGCAUUUUUCGGACACUAGAAACAUUUAAAUGAUCAGGAGGGAGUAACAGAAAGAGCAAGGCUGUUUUUGAAAAUCAUUACACUCCUUUCACUAGAAGCCCAAACCUCAGCAUUCUGCAAUAUGUAACCAACAUGUCACAAACAAGCAGCAUGUAACAGACUGGCACAUGUGCCAGCUGAAUUUAAAAUAUAAUACUUUUUUAAAAAAUUAUUACAUCCUUUACAUUCAGUUAAGAUCAAACCUCACAACGAGAAAUAGAAUGUUUGAAAGGCUAUCCCAAAAGACUUCUUUGAAUCUGUCAUUCACAUACCCUGUGAAGACAAUACUAUCUACAAUUUUUUCAGGAUUAUUAAAAUCUUCUUCUUUCACUAUCGUAGCUUAAACUCUGUUUGGUUUUGUCAUCUGUAAAUACUUACCUACAUACACUGCAUGUAGAUGAUUAAAUGAGGGCAGGCCCUGUGCUCAUAGCUUUACGAUGGAGAGAUGCCAGUGACCUCAUAAUAAAGACUGUGAACUGCCUGGUGCAGUGUCCACAUGACAAAGGGGCAGGUAGCACCCUCUCUCACCCAUGCUGUGGUUAAAAUGGUUUCUAGCAUAUGUAUAAUGCUAUAGUUAAAAUACUAUUUUUCAAAAUCAUACAGAUUAGUACAUUUAACAGCUACCUGUAAAGCUUAUUACUAAUUUUUGUAUUAUUUUUGUAAAUAGCCAAUAGAAAAGUUUGCUUGACAUGGUGCUUUUCUUUCAUCUAGAGGCAAAACUGCUUUUUGAGACCGUAAGAACCUCUUAGCUUUGUGCGUUCCUGCCUAAUUUUUAUAUCUUCUAAGCAAAGUGCCUUAGGAUAGCUUGGGAUGAGAUGUGUGUGAAAGUAUGUACAAGAGAAAACGGAAGAGAGAGGAAAUGAGGUGGGGUUGGAGGAAACCCAUGGGGACAGAUUCCCAUUCUUAGCCUAACGUUCGUCAUUGCCUCGUCACAUCAAUGCAAAAGGUCCUGAUUUUGUUCCAGCAAAACACAGUGCAAUGUUCUCAGAGUGACUUUCGAAAUAAAUUGGGCCCAAGAGCUUUAACUCGGUCUUAAAAUAUGCCCAAAUUUUUACUUUGUUUUUCUUUUAAUAGGCUGGGCCACAUGUUGGAAAUAAGCUAGUAAUGUUGUUUUCUGUCAAUAUUGAAUGUGAUGGUACAGUAAACCAAAACCCAACAAUGUGGCCAGAAAGAAAGAGCAAUAAUAAUUAAUUCACACACCAUAUGGAUUCUAUUUAUAAAUCACCCACAAACUUGUUUUUUAAUUUCAUCCCAAUCACUUUUUCAGAGGCCUGUUAU